GACGAACGCUGGCGGCGUGCUUAACACAUGCAAGUCGAACGCUGAAGCUCAGCUUGCUGGGUGGAUGAGUGGCGAACGGGUGAGUAACACGUGAGUAACCUGCCCUCUUCUUUGGGAUAACGCCCGGAAACGGGUGCUAAUACUGGAUAUUCACUGAUUCUCGCAUGGGGGUUGGUGGAAAGGUUUUUUCUGGUGGGGGAUGGGCUCGCGGCCUAUCAGCUUGUUGGUGGGGUGAUGGCCUACCAAGGCUUUGACGGGUAGCCGGCCUGAGAGGGUGACCGGGCACAUGAGGACUGGGAUACGGCCCAGACUCCUACGGCAGGCAGCAGUGGGGAAUAUUGCACAAUGGGCGAAAGCCUGAUGCAGCGACGCCGCGUGAGGGAUGGAGGCCUUCGGGUUGUAAACCUCUUUCGCUCAUGGUCAAGCCGCAGCUUUGGGUUGUGGUGAGGGUAGUGGGUAAAGAAGCGCCGGCUAACUACGUG
rnacentral:rRNA from 1 species